rnacentral:rRNA from 1 species
CCUGAGAAACCCAAAAGAUCGAAUGAGGAGAUUCAUCGUCAGCAUAUUUGGUAUAUGUGCGAGUUGUGAUGCAUAUUAUCUAUAUGAUAUAUUGUACAUACUUGUAUUAUUUUAUCGCUAAAUUUUGUAGGCGUGCACUUCUCCUCUAGUAGGACGUCGCGACCCGUUGGGUGUCGGUUUAUGGCCUAGAUGGUAGUCUUCAAUUGCAUGAAUUGAAGUCCUCUAGUUGACCUGAUCGACUGCUUAGCGGUAUUCGCAUGGUAAUGAGUCGCAAUAUUGAAUAUAUGCGUCGAGCCCAUUGCAAGCGAGGCCAGAAAUAUAACACUCGGUAGUGCGGAUCUAAUGCCGUCAUUGAGGCUGGCCAGCUGAUGGUUGAUGGUGUCCUUUGACUGACUCAAAUAAUUACCGGUCAGCGACGCUACUGCUUUGGGUACUUUCAGGACCCGUCUUGAAACACGGACCAAGGAGUCUAACAUGUGCGCGAGUCAUUGGGAUAAUUUUUAUGAAAACCUAAAGGCGCAAUGAAAGUAAAGGUCGUCCUUGUGUCGACCGAGGGAGGAUGAGUGGCAUUACGGUGUCUACUCCGCACUCCCGGGGCGUCUCAUUCUCAAUUUUGAGAAGA